GAUUUGUCGAACGUAGUGUUUUGUUGCAGGCAAAUUUUACCGUUAUUUUUAGGUGAAUUUUACGUCAUGGGAAAAACGCAGAAAAACAAGCCCAAAUCUAGAAUUAGACAGCGAAAAUCAAAGCGCGUAAUAGGAUCUCGUGGAUACAAAAAUUACUCGGAAGAAAUGUUACGCUAGCUAGCUUGUCAAGCAGUUUCUUCUUCAAUUUGGCAUCCCAAGACGCACUAUUGUUAACAAAAUUAAGAAACUGCAUUCGAAGUCUGUUGGGCAUCCUACGCAUUUAAGAGAGGAGGAAUAAAACAAACUUGAGCGAGUCUUGCAAGCGUCUAGCGAUUUCGGCUACGCCUUCACUAAAUUGGAUCUUAAACUAAUAGUUUAUGAAUAUUUGAAAAAGAAUUCUCGAGAACAUGUGUUCAAUAUUCCAGGAGAUGCAUGGGUGCAAAGCUAUUUAGCUAGACAUGCUGAUAACUUAAGUGUAAGAAUGACACAAAAAUAAAAAUUAAAAUAAAUCAACAACACGAGUAGAAAAGGGGCCAAAAGAAAUGGCUGAUAAUUUUGCAAAUUUAAGCAUAACUUUGAAAGACAUCCAAGGAACAAACAUUAUCAAUUUUGACGAAACUUAUCUUUCGGAUGACCCAGGAUCAUCAAAGUGUAUAUUCCGACGCGGGGUAAGAUAUCCUGAAAGGGUUGCCAAUUCCACUAAAGGAAACAUAUCCGUUAUGUUCACAGCAAUAGCGAAUGGCCAUUCCUUACCCUUGUAUGUAGUGUAUAAAGCUACAAUCUUAUAUUCUGAAUGGAUUACUGGAGUACGGCCGGGUACAAGGUACAAUUUCACUAAAUCAGUAUGGUUUGACAGCGCCAUGUUUGAAUUCACAAAAUAUACUUUAUUCGUUCUAAUUUUAAGUUUGUCAAACUUUGAUAUAACAUUUUUUUCUAAAUACAUGUUUUGAUUCUA